AGACAUUCAUUCUCAGCCAGGAUGGUAGAUGCUGAGAAAAAGGAGCAUUGUAUUAUGUCACCUGCCUCAUAUGAAGCUUCUUUAUAAUCUUUAAUAAGGAGGAUUUAUAAGCUACUAAGAGAGGUCCAAUUUGUUCAAGAACCUGUCCAUUUGCUCAUACAACCAAGAUAUACUUGCCAUAAGUGCCGAUUACUUUCCAGAAAGAUAAAGUUUGGGAUCAAGAAGCUCAAGUUUGAGACCCAGAACCAUCUAACUCUGCUAUUAACUCUGUACCAUUAGAAAGUGGAAAAAGGAAACACUAAAAAACAGGAAAAUAUGUGUAAUAUCUGCAGAAUGGAAGAUAUGUAACUCACUGAGCAGCUGAAGAAUUAAAUCAGAGAUGGAGUCUCAAUUUGUCACCCAGGCUGGAAUGCAGUGGCACAAUCUUGGCUCACCACAACCUCUGCCUCCCAGGUUCAAGCGAUUCUCCUGCCUCAGCCUCCUGCGUAGCUGGGAUUACAGGUGUUUUAGAGGCAGCUAAUAAUUCACUUGUUGUUACUACAAUAAAAACAUCUAUAACAACACCAAAC
rnacentral:sRNA from 1 species